ensembl:lncRNA
CCAGCUGGAUGGCUAAAGCAGCCGGCUGCAACGCUGCAGCCUCCCCACACCUGAUUACAGGGCGGGCGGGCUGCUCAGGGACAGAGGGCUCCAAAGCUUGGGACACACACCCCGAGUACGGGGCUGUCACCGCCGCCAGCAGGACAGGCGGCCACGCAAGGACAGGCCCAAGCCCUGGCUACAGGGAGGCCUUGGCCACAGAACUACCGUGUGGCUCUGAUCUGCACUAAGGAAAAUAGUAGGAAGACAGGACACUCGCUGCGCUCGCAGGACUAAGAGGGAACACCCCUUUUGCGGCAUGCACCAAAGUCCUCCAUUCCCCCCGGGAAGUCAAAGCUAAGCUGCAGCCAUCUUUGUGGAGGCCUAAAGGGAAAGCACAGCCGCUCAACCACUCCACAAACACAAACAAGGAAAGGAAGGGGAACACGCACACACAGGCACGACUUUCCAGAAGGGAAGGACAACGCAGCACAGCCAACACCUGGGAAUAAACCCACAACCACGAGCAACAGACAAGAGCCUGUGACCUGUCCCUAGGCUGCACGGAGGCCACAGACCUCAACGUGCCAAGGGGCUUCUCAGGUAAAGCCAGCGGCCAAAUGCCGUGACGCACACCCCGAGUACGGGGCCGUCGCGUUGACAAGCCACCAUCAGGCAACGAUGCCGAGGGGCCGGGGGAGGAAGAGGGGCAGGGAAACGGCACUACCCUGCUUACAGGGUGGCCUUGGGGUCCGGCGAGCUCCAUUUCCCACUCAGGUGCGGAGAGGUGGCUCUCGCCCUCCGUUACAGGGGGCCACGCUCCCCAGGCAGCCCUAGGAGCAGCAAGGCAAAAGGCCAACUACAGCAAAGACCCGAGCCCCGCUUACGGGGAGGUCGCCCAGCACAACGCCAGCCUGGUCACCAAAGGCGCCGGCAGCUCUCAACUCAAACGUGACUGUGCCCCUGCUAACGGGACAGGUGCUUUGCCCAGGGAGCCUCUCUCCUUCCCCCCCGCAUCUGCACGCUUCCGCUUCCUCUUCUUGCUUGCUCCUGCCUCCCAGGUCCCCACGCCGCUUCUUCUUCUU